GGACGUGAGGGUGAUCUGGCUGUGACAUCUGUCACCCCAUUGAUUGCCAGGGUUGAUUUGGCUGAUCUGGCUGGCUAGGUGGGUGUCCUCUUCCUCCCUCAUUGCUCCAUGUGUAUCCCUCCCGAAGCUGUACUCUCAUUGAGGACCGUUCUUUGGUCAAGGGUAUAUAAGUAGCUGCGCUCCCCUGCUAGAACCUCCAAACACGCUCUCAACAAACUUAUUGUUGAUUACACGUAUAGUGUAGUUCCUUUCUGUGUGGUUUACAUUUUCACUGUUAAUGGUCUUUUGAUGAAUAGAAGUCCUUCUAA
rnacentral:snRNA from 1 species